UACGUAGGGUCCGAGCGUUGUCCGGAAUUACUGGGCGUAAAGAGCUCGUAGGUGGUUUGUCGCGUUGUUCGUGAAAACUCACAGCUUAACUGUGGGCGUGCGGGCGAUACGGGCAGACUUGAGUACUGCAGGGGAGACUGGAAUUCCUGGUGUGCGGUGGAAUGCGCAGAUAUCAGGGAGGAACACCGGUGGGCGAAGGCGGGUCUCUGGGGCAGUAACUGACGGUGAGGAGCGAAAAGCGUGGGGGAGCGAA
rnacentral:rRNA from 1 species